AGCUAGGUAGGUUAAAAAUAAACCUUAGUAUUGCAAAUACUAGAAUGAGUAGUUUUCCGCUCG
rnacentral:tRNA from 1 species